rnacentral:rRNA from 1 species
UACGGAGGGGGCUAGCGUUGUUCGAAAUUACUGGGCGUAAAGCGCGCGUAGGCGGCUUUGCAAGUUAGAGGUGAAAGCCCGGGGCUCAACCCCGGAAUUGCCUUUAAAACUGCAUCGCUAGAAUUGUGGAGAGGUAAGUGGAAUUCCGAGUGUAGAGGUGAAAUUCGUAGAUAUUCGGAAGAACACCAGUGGCGAAGGCGACUUACUGGACACAUAUUGACGCUGAGGUGCGAAAGCGUGGGGAGCAAACAGG